rnacentral:lncRNA from 1 species
UUCCCACCCGGACGUCACGUCACCAGAGAAAUGACACUCGGGCUCUGUAUAUGCCAGGCAAGUAGGCGAGUCACACCCCAGUCUCAAGAAUGAGCUUGCUAAAGCUUAAUAUCAGAGCCGGGGAGUUGACUCCUGCAGAGGACCCAAGUGGGGUUCCAGUGCCCAAGAUGAGCAGUCUACACCUGCCUGCAACUCCAGCUCUCCGGAAUCCAACGCCCUCUUCUGGCCUCCUCAGGCACUGCAUCCU